rnacentral:rRNA from 1 species
GACGAACGCUGGCGGCGUGCUUAACACAUGCAAGUCGAACGGAAAGGCCCUGCUUUUGUGGGGUGCUCGAGUGGCGAACGGGUGAGUAACACGUGAGUAACCUGCCCUUGACUUUGGGAUAACUUCAGGAAACUGGGGCUAAUACCGGAUAGGAGCUCCUGCUGCAUGGUGGGGGUUGGAAAGUUUCGGCGGUUGGGGAUGGACUCGCGGCUUAUCAGCUUGUUGGUGGGGUAGUGGCUUACCAAGGCUUUGACGGGUAGCCGGCCUGAGAGGGUGACCGGCCACAUUGGGACUGAGAGACGGCCCAGACGCCUACGGGAGGCAGCAGGGGGGAAUAUUGCACAAUGGGCGGAAGCCUGAUGCAGCAACGCCGCGUGCGGGAUGACGGCCUUCGGGUUGUAAACCGCUUUCGCCUGUGACGAAGCGGGAGUGACGGUAAUGGGUAAAGAAGCACCGGCUAACUACGUG